GGUCCGAUGCCACGUCGGCGGUAGCAAGAAAAAUAGCAGUGACCGGCGAUGCUAUGAUCGGACCGACAUCAAGUUUUUUGACGCUUCGCAUUUUGAUAGGAAUCUGUGGAAUUAUAUUUAGUUUUUCCACGGAGCCGUUUUGUGCGAUUACAUAA
rnacentral:snoRNA from 1 species